CUAGGACGAACGCUGGCGGCGUGCCUAAUACAUGCAAGUCGAACGGUCUUUCUAUGGAAGCUUGCUUCCGCUGAGAAGAUAGUGGCGAACGGGUGAGUAACACGUGGGUAACCUGCCCAUAAGAGGGGGGAUAACAUCCGGAAACGGGUGCUAAUACCGCAUAGUUUUCUUGAUCGCAUGAUCGGGAAAGAAAAGACGGCCUUUGUGCUGUCGCUUAUGGAUGGACCCGCGGCGUAUUAGUUAGUUGGUGAGGUAACGGCUCACCAAGACGAUGAUACGUAGCCGACCUGAGAGGGUGAUCGGCCACAUUGGGACUGAGACACGGCCCAAACUCCUACGGGAGGCAGCAGUAGGGAAUCUUCCGCAAUGGACGAAAGUCUGACGGAGCAACGCCGCGUGAGUGAAGAAAGGGUUUUCGGAUCGUAAAACUCUGUUGUCAGAGAAGAACAAGUUGGAGAGUAACUGCUCCAGCCUUGACGGUAUCUGACCAGAAAGCCACGGCUAACUACGUGCCAGCCGCAGC
rnacentral:rRNA from 1 species